GAACGGGACUCUUCGGAGUUUAGUGGCGGACGGGUGAGUAACGCGUGAGAAUCUGCCCUUAGGUUGGGGACAACAGUUGGAAACGACUGCUAAUACCCAAUGUGCCGAGAGGUGAAAGGUUAACUGCCUGGGGAUGAGCUCGCGUCUGAUUAGCUAGUUGGAGUGGUAACGGCACACCAAGGCGACGAUCAGUAGCUGGUCUGAGAGGAUGAUCAGCCACACUGGGACUGAGACACGGCCCAGACUCCUACGGGAGGCAGCAGUGGGGAAUUUUCCGCAAUGGGCGAAAGCCUGACGGAGCAAGACCGCGUGAGGGAGGAAGGCCUAUUGGUUGUAAACCUCUUUUGAUAGGGAAGAACACAAUGACGGUACCUAUCGAAUCAGCAUCGGCUAACUCCGUGCCAGCAGCCGCGGUAAUACGGAGGAUGCAAGCGUUAUCCGGAUUUAUUGGGCGUAAAGCGUCCGUAGGUGGCAAACCAAGUCAGUUGUUAAAGCGUAGAGCUUAACUCUAUAAGGGCAAUUGAAACUGGUUAGCUAGAGUGCGAUAGGGGCAAGGGGAAUUCCCAGUGUAGCGGUGAAAUGCGUAGAUAUUGGGAAGAACAUCGGUGGCGAAGGCGCCUUGCUGGGUCUGCACUGACACUGAGGGACGAAAGCUAGGGGAGCGAAAGGGAUUAGAUACCCCUGUAGUCCUAGCCGUAAACGAUGGAUACUAGGCGUUGUCCGUAUCGACCCGAGCCGUGCCG
rnacentral:rRNA from 1 species